GUACACGCUGUGACUAGCAUAUCAAUAAGCGGAGGAAAAGAAACUAACAAGGAUUCCCCUAGUAACGGCGAGUGAAGCGGGAAGAGCUCAAAUUUGAAAUCUUAAAGGGUUUCCCUUUACGAAUUGUAGUUUAAAGAAGUGUUUUCUGUUGAGGUUUUGGUAAAAGUUCUUUGGAAUAGGACAUCAUAGAGGGUGAGAAUCCCGUAUUUGACCUUUACUUUCAACUUUGUGAUACACUUUCAAAGAGUCGGAUUGUUUGGGAAUGCAGUCCAAAAUGGGUGGUAAAUUUCAUCUAAAGCUAAAUAUUGGCGAGAGACCGAUAGCGAACAAGUACCGUGAGGGAAAGAUGAAAAGAACUUUGAAAAGAGAGUUAAACAGUACGUGAAAUUGUCAAAAGGGAAGUGUUUGACACCAGUGUUGUUUUUCUGAAAAUCAAUUAAAGAACUGUUUAUGCUAAGCUGUUUAGACUUUAUCAGCUAUCUGUUUAGUUUUGAGCUUUUCUUUAAUGCACUUUUCAGUUAACAAGUCAACAUCAAUUUCUUUUGCUGUAAAAAAGCUUGAGGAAGGUGGCUUGAGAUUCGUCUUAAGUGUUUAUAGCCUCUUGCCUAUGCAGUCGGAGAGACUGAGGUCUGCAGCGUAGAUCCUUCGGGGCUAAAUGCAUUUGUGCUAAGUUAUAGCAUUUCAUAGACAACUUGUUGACUAUGAUUUGUCUUGUAGCUUACUCGCUUAUGUUAUUUUACCUACGCUUAGGAUGUUGACGAGACUGUCGAUCUC
rnacentral:rRNA from 1 species